GGAUUAGAUACCCUGGUAGUCCACGCCGUAAACGAUGAUCACUAGGUGUUGGGGGUCGAACCUCAGCGCCCAAGCUAACGCGAUAAGUGAUCCGCCUGGGGAGUACGUACGCAAGUAUGAAACUCAAAGGAAUUGACGGGGACCCGCACAAGCGGUGGAGCAUGUGGUUUAAUUCGACGCAACGCGAGAAACCUUACCAGCGUUUGACAUCCUAAGAAGUUUCCAGAGAUGGAUUCGUGCCGGCUUGCCGGAACUUAGUGACAGGUGGUGCAUGGCUGUCGUCAGCUCGUGCCG
rnacentral:rRNA from 1 species